rnacentral:rRNA from 1 species
UACGUAGGGUGCAAGCGUUGUCCGGAAUUAUUGGGCGUAAAGAGCUCGUAGGCGGUUUGUCGCGUCUGCUGUGAAAACUCAGGGCUUAACCCUGAGCCUGCAGUGGGUACGGGCAGACUAGAGUGUGGUAGGGGAGAUCGGAAUUCCUGGUGUAGCGGUGGAAUGCGCAGAUAUCAGGAGGAACACCGGUGGCGAAGGCGGAUCUCUGGGCCGACAUGACGCUGAGGAGCGAAAGCGUGGGGAGCGAACAGGA